AUAUAGUAUUAAUAUGAAAGUUAUUAUAGCUCCCUUCUUUCAUUACAAUCUCUUAGUUUUCGUAGUUUGGGUUAGAAGGAAAUGAAAUUGUGGAAAGAAGAUGAACCUGAUAAGUGGAAAAUAUUGUUGGCUGAAGGCACUUGAUGUCAAAUGUUGGGAUAACAACAUUAGUAAGGGUCUGGUGUAAUUGUGUUUCUCCUAGUUUUUCUUUAACAAGGUUAUGCAGAUACUUCCCAUCAUAUUUUGGUCCUGAUAAGGAUGUAACUGCCUUCGUGACAUAAGGAAUUGGAACAUAACUGCAUUUAAAAGAAAGAUCAUGUUAACAACUACAAAAAAUAUUGAAGUCUAGUUAAUUGUAUAUACACAAAUACUAGCAUCCUGUCAUCUUAAUCAAGAUUUUCAUCAUGAUAUAUUUGUUACCUGUGCUGUGGGAAGAUCAUAGGGCAGUGCUCAAGGUAGAAGUCCUUGAUAUCUUUGGCGGAAAACAAGGGUCGGCCAGUGUUUUCAUUGGGAGUGGUUAGCAUGGCAGUCACGAGGCCACCGGUGCUUGUUCCUGCAAUCACAUCAAAAUAAUCUGAAAUUCUUGCGUCUUCACCAUCCAGCUUCUGCACCAUGGCCAAACAAUCUAGUGUUAGUACUUAUAAAAUAUAUCGAAUAUAGGAUAUAUAAGUUCGAGAUUAGGUAUAUAUUAAUUUUAAAAGGCAAAUGGAAAGGCCAUAUUUUGUUAUUAUCAUGUAAAACCUUAUAUUUCCUACCUGAAGCUCAGACUCGAGGAAGCCAAGGACUGUUCCUGGGAUAAGCCCUCUUAUUCCACCUCCAUCGAUGCUGAGAAUGGUGAUUAGGUUUCCAUAAGUUGGAGGCUGUAGGGGUGAUUUUGGUUCUUCUUCCAUUAGCAAUCGAGGGAUGAAGGUAUGAACUUGAGUCAUGGAGGAGAGAAAAAGGGAGAUUUGCUAUUUCAAGAGACUUAGAAUAGAAUUGAAGUUUCUGCAGGAGACUUAGAAAUAUACUGAGACUUUUGAGUCCUCUUUGAUAACUAGGCAGGUGUAUUUAUAGACUCCUUAAUUAGCGUAUAUCCCUGAUUUUCUUGCUCAUACUUUUCUAAAUGGACCUGGUUCAAGUUGGACCCGGAUUCAUCAUUCAGGAUAAGUUGAAAAGUCCACAAGCAAAUCUUCUUGUCUUAUAGAAGCUAGCCAAAUGGUCACAUUGGCAUGACUCCUGGCAACUGUAGGUAAGACCAAAGAGAAUAGCUGGUAAGAAGGAUUAGGUGACUCAAUAAAGGUUGAGAUAGGAUGAAUUUUCCUAACUAAUGGAGUUUGUGAACAGGUCAUGGAAACACUAAGUCUUAUGAAAUGAUUCUGGUUUCUAGCUAUGUCUGGUGCAAAGAAUCGUGAUGGAGACAAGCCUAAAUGCGCAUACCAAACAAAAAUUUAUUAUUCAAUGCACACAAAUUUGUGUUCGUAAAUGGAUGCGCUUGACUGGGGAUGGCGAUGAUUUUGAAAGAACACCAACUAGGGCAACGAAAAGUACUGGCCAACGCGGCACUUGCACCAUGAAUGACAAGGAACGAAUAAUUCAAUGUCAAGCAGCAAGGUUUUACAUAAUUUCCUGUUAGACAUGAUUUUUUUGACCUAUUAACCUCAUGCUUUUCAUACUUAAUAUCUGUAAAAUUGUACACACGAUCAUUGGCUUCUAUAGUUUGUAGAAAACUACAUGGUUAUUCAAUAUUUUUUGUAAUUACAGUUCUAAGUCCUGUGAAUUUUAGAUGAUGUGCAGUGCGAAGACUUGGUUGACUGUUAGUUACUGAGGUUUUCCCACAUCUCCCAAAUGUUAAAAUGAUGAAAUUAUUGCCUAAGAAGCACCUGUUGCAGAAUCAUAUUUGAACGUAAGGUAGCAAAUUAUAGCUAACUAAAAAUAGGUUAUAUUAUAUUAAACUAUCAGAAGUUUUCAGUGCUUUCAUCUUUAUCAAUCUGUGUUGGGCGCUUAUUUAAUUAGCAAGGUUGGAAGUAUGAAGGGUGACAGCAUCAUUAAUGGACUUCACUUAACGUCGACCUAAUGGUGGUUAAUUGGUAUUUAAAAAUUAACUUCACAUCCAUCAAGGAAAAAAUCAUGUUUGUUUAUCAUGAUUAGGCAAAGAUGCAACGCAGCCGGGAAGUGAAAAAACGAAAGGACUGGUCAACUAAGGAAAUCUGUUGGUUGCCCUAGUGAAUUUGUGAACCAUUCACUGGAAACUUCAAAUUUCGAACACAGCAUGGCCUAUUUACUUUCAUGUUGAGCUCAGUCUAGAACAAAAAUAAUACUAUUACAGCAUUAUUAGAACAGCUCUAAAGAGUUGGGAAUUGAUGCUGGAAAUACUUUGUUCCUCAUGGUCUUUGCAUGUUAAUCUUAGCUGCUGGGCUUAGCAGGGCAUUACUAUUCAGAAAUUCUGAGAACUCCAUGCCCGCCCGUAUUUCAAAUCCCAAAUUUGACCCAAACCCUAACUUAAUUGAAAGCAGUUUAGAUUUGAUCUUUUCAAUCAGUGCCCUUGAGUCCUUGACCAUUCCACCCUUCCAAAGCCAUCCCUUCGUUUCUAUUUCAUGGAAGCUAGCUAUCUAUGCUGUAACGCCAUCAAUCCAUUCCUGACUCUUUGUGAUGCUUUAUAACCCCCGAAGGAAGAAGAGCAAAUCAGCCAAUAGAAGGUAGAUUCAAUUGGAGUUAGGGUUCUCUUACUUUAACUUAUUGAAUCCCUAGACCUAGCUAAUUAACCAGGAGCACCUUCCACCAGCAGUUUAUGUCCAUUUAUAAAUACAAUCCUAGUCAGUUCUACAUUGCCACGACCUUAACCCCUGCCUUGAACACCGGACCUUGCUGUCUGGGAACGCUGGGCAGUAAUGGUUAAUAGAGUCCCAGGGAAACCACAGAAAAAUAAGACAUUCAUAGAUUUUUACCUACAUUCAUUGACUCUUGUAUUAACAUUUUUGGCUCAUACUCUCGUGUAACAUUUGAGGAAAAAAGUGUAAAAGGAAAUUAAUAGAAGAAAAGAAAAUAUGAAUAAAAAUAAAUAAAAAAUAAAAAAUUAAUAAAUUAUUUUUAAAUGUUUCUUUAAAAUUUUAACUAAUUUUAAAUAUAUUUAAUUUUUUAAUUAUAAUUUCAAAUAAAAAAUUAUUUAGGUAAAGACAAAUAAGGUAAAGGCUAUGCAUGGGUCCAACAAAUUGAUUAAGUGCCUCAAGGAAUAAAGGCCAUUGUUUGAAAGUAAACUUGAAUUUGGAAAGUUUCCAAAAGUUAGAACAUGAUUUGAUUUCUAAAAGAUAGAAUACUUUUAAUGCAAAUCUUGCAUUGCAUUUUAUAUUUGUCAAUGGUCUUCAUCUUUUAGAUUAAGAGGAAAUGGAAUUCAUGAUUUCGGCACCCAGUUUCUUUGGAGCUUUCUCUCUUAAAAUUCCUCUCUUCCCUUCAAAUUAUUUUCUUUCCAGUUCCCAUGGUUGGAACAAUUGCUAGUACUUGGCCGGGGAUGACAUGUCAUUUCGAUGGUGGUGGUGUUUUGGUGAGUUGUUUGUCACAAGUUAAGGCUGGUGGAUGUAGAUGGGUAGUGUCGGCCCCUUAACCUUUUGACCCAAUAAAGAAGGAAAGGGCCUCAUGAGAAGGCCUUGCACCCAUGGGAGCCUAGACGGGGAGAGCAAGGAUAGCUUGGAGGUUUGGUGGUUCAAACCCCAAGAGUUGAAAUGAGGAGACCAUGUGUGGGCCAGACAAGCAUCUGGCACGCGCGCGCACUGCGUGCGCAUCAGGUAGGCUUCUCGUGCACACUUAGCGCCUACUAGGCAUAUGUGGGCUAUGGAGUUGGUGUAGAUGGAGGCUGAGGUUUAUUUUGAAAUAUAAUUUAUAAUUAUUUAAAUAUUCCAUUAUGUCUCCUUAAGCAGGUAUGAUGUCUUUUCCAAACAUCUUGAGAAUGAUUCGUAUUGCUCUUUAAAGGGGGGGAGGGUAGGUGACUUAAGGAGGCACCAUGGCACGACCUUGGGCAUGCCUAGGGCACACGGACGACACUCAAGCACGCAUACAUGGGCUCCAUGACAUGUGUGGCGUGCACCCUGUGGCUGCAACAGCAUGGGGCUUGGUGCGGCCUACCUUCUCCCUAUGCUGGCACGAGGGCGCCUAAGCCUUGUGCAGUGAGCCAGUUGGAGAAGCCAUGGGUGCAAUGCCAUGGUUUGAUGGAGCACUAGACGUGUAGCUGACUCGAACCCAUGAUGCCAAUGCAUGACACCAGGGCGCAAUGCCCUGUGCUCCAGGAAGAAACAACCAUGGGUGCAAUUCCAUGACUCGUUGUUGUGGAGCCUUGACCUGACAGAGGGAGCUAGACACAUGACUAGGCCAUGAGCACCUUAACAUGGCAUGGGCUCACACAUCAGUGUAGGGAGGACACACUGAUGCACCAGUAGGCUCACGCAAGCAGUUAUGGCGGUUGUGGCAGUUGCAUAACCACCAGUAGGCUCAUUGGUUUUGAAUUUCAAAUUGUAAUUGUAGGGUGGGUCAUUUAAAAAGGCCCUUGCCUUUUUGAGACAUAGGAUGGGAUGUUGUCUUUGAAUGCUUAGGAGAUUAAGCAUUGUACUUUGACUCAGGCAAAGUGUUGAGACACUUUGGAAAGAAAAUUUUGUAUCUUGUAGAGUUGAAUAAUACAAGUUGGGAAGGGUGUUCCCGUAAUUGUGUGGCUUGUUACAUUGUUUUUCUAAGGGUUGGAAAGAAAGGUUAGUUAAGGAAGGGUCCUUAGCACUGCACACUCAGUGAAAAAAAUUGGGCAGAUAAUCAGGGGUGUGAAAGGUAGUGUAGUUGGGUUGGUGUGGCAUUAUUUUGUUGUAGGUGGGGAUUGAAAUGCUUGAAUUUUGAUUCAAGCUCUCUCUCAUGUCUUUAUUCUUGGAAUUUUAGUGCCUGUUUCUUCUACUGUAAUGUGUUUAUAUCAUUUGUUAAUCUGAGAAUACUAUUAUGUGAUUCAUGAAAAUUUUGGAAUGAGGUAGUGCACAAUCUAUUUUAUAUCUAUGAAGUGUGGAUUUCACCAUUAGCUAGAUACAAGCAAUGGAGAGGAGGGUUGAACUUAAGACCUCCAAUCAAACCGAGCUUUGAUAACAUCUUGAAUUACCAAUUUUCCAAAAGGUUUAAACAUAUAGUAUUUGGGUUCAAUGUACAUAUCAGAUGAUGGUCAUUCUUUUGUAAUAGGAUGCAUAUUAGGUCUCAUAACCAUUAUUUCACUAAGAGGGUAUCUUAAGUUGACUUUAGGUUAAAUUAUUCUUAAAUUGUUAACUUAAAAACUUAUUACUUAUUUUUUAUUUUAAAUAUUAAGGUUGUUUGGUAAAGCUAACUUAAAAUCUAUUCUAAAUUAUCAAAUUAACAUAUUUAUAUCAUUAAUUUUGAUUAAUAUUUAAAUGUGAAUUAAUUUUAAAUAAUAAAUUGAUUUAUUAAAUAAUUAUAUUUGAAGUAUUAUAAAUAUAUAAGAUAAGUCUAAAAAUAUUAACUAUAAAAUAUGAGUUAAAUGUAAAGUCAUGAUUAUAAAAUAUACUCCCACCAAACAUGAAUAAAUGAGGUAAAAAAAUAUUUUACAUUAAAAAUAAAUUAAUUAUUUUAACUUAGUACUUAAAGUUAUUAAGUUUGACUUUAAAUUAUGAUAUUAAAUUAUUUUACUAAAUAUGUUUGAUCUACUUAAUAAUUUAAAUUAAAUCAUUAAGUUAUAUUAAGUUAUUAAGUUGAUUAACUAAACAUCACUACUACAAAAAUAAUUUAUGGUGUUACUUUUAAAAUAAUGACACCAUAUGAUUUAAAAUCCAUAAAGGUGACACAUCAUAUAAAAAUUUUCAAUUAAGAUAGAUGAUAUUAAUUUUAAGUUUAUAGUGUUAGUUUUCGAAAAGUGACACCAUAUAAAAUAAAUUUUUUAAAAUACUAUAACUUAAUGGGCCUACUUUGAGAAUAAUAAUAGUAUAAAAAAAACUCAUUGUUUCCACAUAUUCACAAUCCAAAAAAUUCUCAUUCCAUAACCCUAACCAUAAUUUUCUUCUACCUCUUCUCACACCCAUAGUUAACACACAAUUGCUUUUCUCUACUUCGUGGACUCUUAGGUAACCCAAAAUCUCUUAGAUCUAUCAUUUUCAUUUUUUUUAUUAAUGUCAAAAUCUUUAUUAGCAUAUGAAUUGAUUUAUAUUCAUUGAAAAUCUCAUUCCAUAACCCUAACCAUAAUUUUCUUCUCCCUCUUCUCACACCCGUACUUAACACACAAUUGCUCUUCUCUACUUCGUGGAAUCUAAGGUAAACCAAAAUCUCUUAGAUCUAUCAUUUUUUUUUAUUAAUGUCAAAAUCUUUAUUAGAAUAAUUGAUUUAUAUUCAUUGAUUUGGUAUAUCUGUAAUGUGGAUUGUGUAAAUAAUGUUUUUUUAUUAAGUUGUAGGAAAGUAAAAAUUAGGUUGAACAUUCCACCAUAUUUUUUGUUUCAUUGUUAAACCCAUAAACCCCAAAAUGAAUGAAAAUAAGAUAAAUAAAUGAUUUUUUAAUAUCUUUCAUACUCAAAAUGAGGGAUAAACAUUUUACGGUAUGAAAUUUUCUUUUGAUCUUACAAGAAAUUUCUUUUGAUGAGACUUUCUGUUUAUUUUCUAGGAAUAUUAUAGUAUAUUGUAAUGAAAAUAUGUAUUGGUGAUAUUUGAAAAAUAAUUUUUUAGAAAGUUAUUCUUAAUAUUGUCAUCUCCCUUAUAAGGAAAAAUGAAAUAGUUUCCAUAUCAUGUUAGAGUUGGUUUGGAAUGUUGGAAUUAACAAUGAAAAAUUAAUUUUCUUUUUUAUUUAUUAAUGUAAAUGAUUUAUUUAUUUAUUUUUAAAUUUAAAUAGGAAUGAAAGUUUUCAUAAUUAUUAAAAUGAUCAAAUCUUAUAUUUUGAUUUUUUUUUAUAUUCUUUUACAUGGUAUUAUGGUUAAUAUCUCAUCUUGUUCUAUUCAUAUUUUUUCUGUUGUGAUGAAGAUAUUGGUUGGUCAUAUUUGAAAAAUAAUUUUUGAGAAAAUUAUUUUCAAUAUUGUCAUCUCCCGCAAAAGGAUUAUAAAAAUAUGUUUUAUUUUUGCUUUCUUUUCUUAUUGUUUUUAUAUGCAUUGACCAAGCUUUGGUGUAAUUUGAAAUUGAUGAUAAAAUUUUCCUUUCAAGGUUAGGAAAUUUCUAUAAAAUCCUUUUAUUACAAACUUUUUUCCAAUUCCUUCCAUAAAACUCUUAUUUUUCUUCAUUUUUCUUUUUUCUGAAAAAGAUGUUUGAUAAUUUAUUUAUCUAAAGAAUAUUAAAAGUAAAAAAUUUAAAAUAUUGAAUAUAUUUUCCUUUGAUGUUUAAAAUUUUUAAUUUUAUUUUUAUUUGAACAUAUUUUUCAUAUCCAAUUUUUUAUUAAUUAUUUUAAUUGAAAAAAAGAAAUAUCAUUUGGAGUUAUGACUGAAAAAUCAAUAAUUUUUAUGAAAGUUCUUUAAUUCUUUCUCAUACUAUUUUUUCUCUUAACACUUUUUAAUAAUGAAUUAGGUUUUUUGUCUUAUAUACACAAUUUUCAUACUUGUUAUAAUAUCAUGUCCUAUCAUAUUAGUAGUUGAAAACAUUUUUAUAUUUUGUUACUAAAAUUUUAUUUUAUAUAAUUGAGAUGAAAUUUAAUGUACAUUGUUAUUUCACAAAAUGAACAUUUAAAAAUAUUGAAAUUAAGAAAAUCCUUUCAAGAAAUAAUAUAUAUAUAGAAUUAAAUGUUAAAAAUGAUUUUUAAAAGCAUAAUGAAUUAUAAAAAUAAAUUUAAAAAGUGCAGAUUUUAAGUAGAAGAUUAGUAUUUUCUAAAAUUUUAGAUUUAUAUUUUGAUUUUAUAGUUUUGAUUUAUUUUUUAUUUCAUGGAAUUGUUUUUAUUUGAGUUCAAAUGUGACUACUUUGUUAUGAGAUUCAUUAAAGAAAUAAUUGUUGAUUCUACAGUUAUUGCAUUAAAGGUUUUACUCAUUUAAUGAAUUGUAUAUAGUUUCAUUCUUCCAAUUAUUGUGGUAUUAAUGUUAUUGUCAUUUGAUUUCAGUUUGAUGAUUAAAAAAAAAAAAACAUAUUCUUAAGUAGAAUUUGAUGAAAUUAGAGGACAAUUGACUAUUUUUGUGUUAUAACUAAUCAUGAAUCAUGUUGCUAUAUCGUGAUCAUGCAUGGUGAGUCCCUUAGUUGUUAUAUGAAUUUUCCAUUGGUAUCGUAUAACAUUACUUAUUUUUUACGAACUAUUUUUAUAUUAAAAUGGGAAAAAGAAAAAAAAAACAUUAGUUCUUAAAUUUGUUUAUUUUUUAUAACAUUAAUUAAAUUUUAUUUUCACUAAGAACUCUAAAACUCAUUAAACUAUGAAAUGCAGGCACUAACAGAAAGAGCUUGAGGCACCAAGAAAGAUGGCCUUGAGCAAGAAAAGGAUGAGAAAAAGGACACAAUGCUUGAGUUGUCUUCCUCUUGUGUUGGAAUAUUGCAUUGUCCAUAAUCUAUUUAUAGGCUAAUCGAGCAGCAAGGCAAGUGCUAUAGAAUGCUGUUACUGAUGAGAAUUUGAAAAUCAAGAAAAUUCGGCGAACAUGAGAUGGUCAUGGAGUGCAUGCAUGGUCUUCUUUGACAUUGUCCAUGGUCCAGAUUACAUUUCUGUGAUCACACUUUCCUAUAUUUUUUGAAGACACAGAAUUUUCUCGCGUGAAGACUUUAUGAUUGACGAGUAGGUAAUGUGAUAUGCUGAUGAAGUCAGCUUCUAGCACAGAGCCCCAUUAAUGGGAUAUUGUUGAAUUGGAGAAUGUUUCCACACGCUCAAAAUGGGGCGUUGUUUUAGCAUCAAGAAAUUGUCAUCUUCAUUGGCUUGUUGGAAUAGUGAUGUAUGACUGAUGACUUGUUAGGAUUUAUCUGAAAAUAAAGUCCAAGCUUGCUGCUUCUUCUAGGGUAGCACACCAUAUAAAGCUCUCUCUCCCUCUUUCUCUCUCUCUCUUAUAAAGACAGUGAUGAUGGUCCAAAGAAGAAUUCCCAAGCAGGCAGAGAUGCACAACUGCAAGUAAUUACACACAGAAUGAAGGCGUCUGGCCAGAUUUAACAUGAGAAAAUCAUGAUUAAUACAUGAUUCUUCACCAAUAAUUGAGUUGAAUGAGUCUACUAUUCAAAUCACAUUGUUAAAAAAAAAAACAGAUAAUAAAGAUUCAAAUCACAUUAUUAAUGAGUGGGCCGGUCUCAUUUAAGAACACGAUUUGACAUGCAAAAUUAAUGGAUCCAUCCAUAUACAACAUCUACCACAACUCAUUUAAGAACAAAUUCUGGUUAUUCUAAUAAUUCACCAUUUUUCUUCAUGGAAUCAGUUUUGAAAUAGUCCCAAUUUAGUACUAUUAAGAGAGAGUAUCAAGGAAAAUAUUUGGUAGGUGGGCGGUGAAUCAAGUUAAUUAGAUGGUGAAGAAAAACUAAUGAGAGAUGAACUUAAUCAACAAGGUGUACCUCUUUUUUCUGUUGUUAAUCCAACUGUGUUAGACAUUGCUGCUACUUAUAAUUGCCGAACAAAAGGUAAUAACUCUUGCUUGAAAUCAAAUUAAUUCCUGAUACCUUUAUUUUUUAUAUGUACACAAAAUGGCCUUCAUCAUAAGUGUUCUGCAAACGAACUGCGUGCUCCUUGAAUGUGGAGAUAUGGCUGCUCCCACGAAGUUUCCAUACCACAUUUUGAAGUAUAGCUAGUUCUCGUUCUGAUAUUAAUCCACACUAAUGCUGGCAGCUUCCAACACUGGUAUAAUACCAUGUUUUCCAUCUUUUUUUUCCCCCUGUAUGUACACAUAUUAUAAAGUCCAUAGGCUGCACACUCUUCACUAUUUUAAACGUAGAGAACCUUGUUAAAUAGUUAAUAACCAAAGAAAGAUAAAUUAAUGAACAUGCAAAUGACGUUGAUAUCUUCUAUAUAUAUAAUUAGUACUACUAGCAGUCUGCUUUGUCGUGCUGUUGCAUCCUCCUAUUCUUGUAUUUGUGUACAAGGGACAAAUCAAACCAUGAGGAUUACAUGACAACACGGCACCAUGGUCAUCACAAAUGUUGUUCAUUUGCUCUUGAAACAUAUGGUGCGGGAACCAGGACAAAUCGACUAAUCAUUACAUGCACGGCAUUAUAAUAUUGGUGAUGACAUAAUAUAUGCUAAAUAGGGUGUAAUAAAUAAAUAAAUAAAAUUAGAGAAAAAGUGUACGUAAGGGAAACAAAAAAGAAAAAAAAGAAAAAAAGAAAAUUAAAAACAUGAUGAAGAUGACAAGAGGGUAAAAGAGAUUUUUCACCAAACAUUUGAUUAUUAACUAUAGAAAUGAGUUUGGUUUACAUAUUCCUUACAAGUUAUUUUACUUUAUUAUUAAUUGAAAACGAUGUUGUAUUACUUGGCAAACAAAGAUGGUGGUAAGUUUAGAAUAAUGCAAUAUAUGAUUUGCAUGCUUUAUUCCUUGGUAAUAUUAUGAUUUUUUACUACAAUAUUCUUUAAUUGACUUGGGCAGUGUCGGGUCCAGAAAGGCUGCAUCAGUGCCUAGUGAUUCUCAUUCAGAUGUAUAUCUGGACCAUUAGGGAACCAAGAUAAUAUUUUUGUGUUUGUGUCGCUGUUGUCCUUUAAAAUUAUUUAUCCUUGCAUCUAAAUUAAUAAUUUGUUUUCUCAUACUUGUAGUUUUUGAAAUAAAGUUAAUUCAGGUAGACCAGUUUUUAAUCAGACCUCAAUGCAACAUAUCUUCCCAUCCUACCCAAGAGAAGCUACUGAAAGCUCCCAUGACUGAAGAGAGACAACAAGGAUUCUAUCCUUCUGGAUCGACCUAGCACUCUCUUUUAGAUUCUAUCCAUCUAUUUGUUCUCAUCUUAUUUCUGGGAAGUUCUGUGUGGACAACAAGGAUUCUAUCCUUCUGGAUCGACCUAGCACUCUCUUUUAGAUUCUAUCCAUCUAUUUGUUCUCAUCUUAUUUCUGGGAAGUUCUGUGUUACCCUAAUUAUCAUAUAUAUAUAUAUAUAUAUAUAUAUAUAUAUAUAUGUUUCAACCCAUCUCAGUGUCUCUUGAGUUACAAGCUAGCUAGAGACAGACAAAGGAAAAGGUCAUUGAUAGUUCUUGUAGAUUUGUAAAGGAUAAGUAUUAUUUAUCCUUACAUCUAAAUAAUUUGUUUUCUCAUGCUUGUAGUUUUUGAGAUAAAGUUAAUUCAGGUAGACCGAUUUUUAAUCAGGCCUCAAUGCAACGUAUCUUCCCAUCCUACCCAAGAGAAGCUACUGAAAGCUAGCUCCCAUGACUGCAGAGAGACAACAAGGAUUCUAUCCUUCUGGAUCGACCUAUAACAUAAUGUGUUUAUGCUGUGUUUAGGUUAUAUAUAUAUGUAAAAAUAACUUUUUUGUUUUAUGUUUUGAGUGGUUGUCAUUAGUCUACGUGGAGAUAUUUAGUCAAGUUAAAUAUCUUUGCAUCUGGUUUGAAAUCUAGUGACUGUACAACAAAAACUGCAGAACCGAGAAUGCAAAGUGAAAAAAAGAAAAAGGGUCCUUUGUUUUUUGGUGGACUGUUUUAACUCCUCUGUUCCCAGGUCUGUUCCCAGGUGUUACUCUUCCAUUUUUUCUUUGUUUAGCCAUUCUCUGUUUCAGGCUGAAACUACAGCCAACAUGACCUAGCACUCUCUUUUAGAUUCUAUCCAUCUAUUCGUUCUCAUCUUAUUUCUGGGAAGUUCUGUGUUACCCUAAUUAUCAUGUAUCUUAAAAAUAUAUCCAUCUAUAUAUGUAUAUACAUAUAUAUAUAUUAUAUGUUUCAACCCAUCUCAGUGUCACUUGAGUUACAAGCUAGCUAGAGACAGACAAAGGAAAAGGUCGUGAUAGUUCUUGUAGAUUUAUAAAGGAUAAGUAUUAUUUCCAGUCCAUUCUAAUUAAUUGCCAUUCCCAUAAUGUAGGUUGAUACAAAAUUAGAACUUAUUCAAGAAAAUAAUGGAAAUAAUUCAAUCUUGUCAGUAAAAUGUUCUGAGAAAUAGAGGUCGCACUAAAUCACAAUAAUUUUGACUUGCACAGUCCUAUCAGAACCAUAGAAGAAAUUAAGUGGAAUCUAUGGACUUACAAUACCUUAAUACUAGAAACGAUUAAAUUGGUUAUUAAAAUAUCCCAUUUGGGAUUUAUUUUUACAAUAAGAAUAGUGAAUUAAAAGGCAGACAAUCAGAAACGGGACUACAACUUAACUAGAAAUUCAUUACAACAGAAGGAAUCAUUCAUAUCAGACAACGACCAAUCCUUUAGAAGCGGCAGCAUGUCCAUGUGGUGACCUAGUAUCUCUACGUUGCUUCUCUUGGGAGAGUAGUCUUGUAAAACUGAAAAAUUAGAAGGAUUUUUUAUUAUUAUAUGAUUAGUUAAUUAACUAAGAAAACUCUAGAAUAAAACUCUAAAAAUAGUUAGAUACCUUGUGAGAGCCUCCUCAUUGGUCUCGUGAUUUGAAGGCUCAAAGAUACCUGUAUCCAGGUUAACCCUUGAGACCCUUUUCUUUAACAACUCCUCACCAAUUUUCACAAGAUCAUCCAAAUUUUCCUUUGUGGCUAUGUCGACUGAUGAUGUUAUUCCACUCAAUGUAUCAUCCUGUAUUUACCCUUUGUGUCAGUAUCAGUGGUAGACAAGGAACAGAAGAAGCAAUUGACUUUCAGAUAUUUUUAGGACUGAGGAAAUUAUGAAGAAGAACAAAAUUUAAAUAAGAAAUUUGACUUUGUAAGUGACUGUAAUUUAUGAAACCACAAGCAGCAAAGCUGUACCUGUAUCCGAAGAUAGCUUUUUUCAGAGUGAAGGGCUUGAAAAGCCUCUGAAAGGUGUAAGUCGACCAUAUCUGCGCUUGCUUGGGUAAACACUUGCACUAAGGGGGUGGAACCACCACUGGUCAACCAUCCCAACAGACCCCACUUGGCUGCUUCAUCAGCAUUGUAUUUUUCUUCGGCUUUUGAUGACCCAGUUCCCAAGGAUAUUACUAGAAACCGGCCAUAGUCCAUUGGCUUUAUAGGAAAGAAAUCAGGACUACCCCGGAUGAUCUCCUUGGUCACUUCCCCAAUAGCAACCAAAGUCUGAAACAAGAAUCAAUAGUUAAUUGAAUUGUGAAAAGAAAAAUAAAACUGGGAAGUCUAAGAUGCAACUUCAAAGUUAAUGAGUACCGGAUUAUUUGCAGCUACACCACCAUCAAUGAGGUUGAAUUCUCUAACUCUCCCGGCAGGGUCUUUGGUUUCGAAAUAAUGAGCUGGAAGAUAAGUGGGUGCUGCUGAGGUUCCAAUACAUAUAUCUGAUAGUAAGGCAUCUAAACAUGGUCUGCUCUUCACCUAGAGCAUGGAAAUCAAGCAUAUAGUAUUAAUACGAAAGUUAUUAUAGCUCCCUUCAUUCAUUACAAGCUCUUAAUUUUCAUAGUUUGGAUUAGAAGGAAAUGAAAUUGUGGAAAGAAGAUGAACCUGAUAAGUCGAAAAUAUUGUUGGCUGAAGGCGCUUGAUGUCAAAUGUUGGGAUAACAACAUUAGUAAGGGUCUGGUGUAAUCGUGUUUCUCCUAG
rnacentral:lncRNA from 1 species